rnacentral:rRNA from 1 species
UACGUAGGGCGCAAGCGUUAUUCGGAAUCACUGGGCGUAAAGGGCGCGCAGGCGGUUUUGUAAGUCUAAAGUGAAAUCCUUGGGCGUAACCCAAGGGCUGCUUUAGAUACGGGAAAAAUCGAGUUCGGGAAAAGCAAGCGGAAUUCCUGGUGAAGGGGUGAAAUCCGGAGAUAUCAGGAAGAACACCAGUGGCGAAAGCGGCUUGCUAGAACGCAACUGACGCUUAGGCGCGAAAGCGUGGGGAGCAAACAGG